UAAUUGGCGGCGUGCUUACACAUGCAAGUCGAACGAUGAUCUCCAGCUUGCUGGGGGGAUUAGUGGCGAACGGGUGAGUAACACGUGAGUAACCUGCCCUUGACUCUGGGAUAAGCCUGGGAAACUGGGUCUAAUACUGGAUACGACCUUCCAUCGCAUGGUGGUUGGUGGAAAGCUUUUGUGGUUUUGGAUGGACUCGCGGCCUAUCAGCUUGUUGGUGGGGUAAUGGCCUACCAAGGCGACGACGGGUAGCCGGCCUGAGAGGGUGGACGGCCACACUGGGACUGAGACACGGCCCAGACUCCUACGGGAGGCAGCAGUGGGGAAUAUUGCACAAUGGGCGCAAGCCUGAUGCAGCGACGCCGCGUGAGGGAUGAAGGCCUUCGGGUUGUAAACCUCUUUCAGUAGGGAAGAAGCGAAAGUGACGGUACCUGCAGAAGAAGCGCCGGCUAACUACGUGCCAGCAGCCGCGGUAAUACGUAGGGCGCAAGCGUUAUCCGGAAUUAUUGGGCGUAAAGAGCUCGUAGGCGGUUUGUCGCGUCUGCCGUGAAAGUCCGGGGCUUAACCCCGGAUCUGCGGUGGGUACGGGCAGACUUGAGUGA
rnacentral:rRNA from 1 species